rnacentral:rRNA from 1 species
AUUGAACGCUGGCGGCAUGCUUUACACAUGCAAGUCGAACGGUAACAGGGUGCUUGCACCGCUGACGAGUGGCGAACGGGUGAGUAAUGCGUCGGAACGUGCCGAGUAAUGGGGGAUAACGCAUCGAAAGGUGUGCUAAUACCGCAUACGCUCUGAGGAGGAAAGCUGGGGAUCGAAAGACCUGGCGUUAUUCGAGCGGCCGACGUCUGAUUAGCUAGUUGGUGAGGUAAAGGCUCACCAAGGCGACGAUCAGUAGCGGGUCUGAGAGGAUGAUCGGCCACACUGGGACUGGGACACGGCCCAGACUCCUACGGGAGGCAGCAGUGGGGAAUUUUGGACAAUGGGGGCAACCCUGAUCCAGCCAUGCCGCGUGUCUGAAGAAGGCCUUCGGGUUGUAAAGGACUCUUGUUAGGGAGCAAGUCCUGCAGGUUAAGAGCUAGUAGGGAUGAGAGUACCUAAAGAAUAAGCACCGGCUAACUACGUGCCAGCAGCCGCCGUAACAC